rnacentral:lncRNA from 1 species
CGCCCAUAAGGUUUCUCCCCGGUAUGACUUCUUUCGUGCUUAUGAAGAUGACUGUUUUGUGAAAAGGCUUUAUCACAUUGUUUACGCCCAUAAGGUUUCUCCCCAGUAUGACUUCUUUCAUGCUUAUGAAGAUGACUGUUUUGUGAAAAGGCUUUACCACAUUUAUUACAUUCGUAAGGUUUCUCUCCAGUAUGACUCCUUUCAUG